UCAAUUCAACUUUCAUCAGGAUAAUCCAAAAAAUAUGUACGCAUGUGUGUGUGUAUGUAUAUUAUAUAUAAUAUAGUAAUAUAUACAUACAAACACAAAUACAUACACACGUGUGUAUAUAUUUUUUGGAUUAUCCUGAUGAAAGUUGAAUUGA